rnacentral:rRNA from 1 species
CCUACGGGUGGCAGCAGUCGAGAAUUUUUCUCAAUAGGGGGAACCCUGAAGGAGCGACGCCGCGUGGAGGAUGAAGGCUUUCGGGUUGUAAACUCCUGUCAUUAGGGAACAAUUGUCAGCGAUUAACUGUCGCGGACUUGAUAGUACCUGAAGAGGAAGGGACGGCUAACUCUGUGCCAGCAGCCGCGGUAAUACAGAGGUCCCAAGCGUUGUUCGGAUUCAUUGGGCGUAAAGGGUGCGUAGGUGGUAGACUAAGUCGGAUGUGAAAUCCCAGGGCUCAACCUUGGAACUGCAUUCGAUACUGGCCUGCUUGAGGACUGGAGAGGAGAUUGGAAUUCAUGGUGUAGCAGUGAAAUGCGUAGAUAUCAUGAGGAAGACCAGUGGCGAAGGCGGAUCUCUGGACAGUUCCUGACACUGAGGCACGAAGGCUAGGGGAGCAA